CCUACGGGGGGCUGCAGUAACGAAUAUUGGGCAAUGGGCGCAAGCCUGACCCAGCAAUGCCGCGUGCAGGAGGAAGUCCUUCGGGAUGUAAACUGCUGUCAGGGGUCAACAAGCAAAGGGACCUAAUACGUCCUGGCGUUGAGUCGCCCCAGAGGAAGCCUCGACUAACUCUGUGCCAGCAGUCGCGGUAAGACAGAGGAGGCAAGCGUUGUUCGGAAUCACUGGGCUUAAAGCGCGUGUAGGCGGCUUGGUAAGUGUCGUGUGAAAUCCCAUGGCUCAACCAUGGAACUGCACGGCAAACUACCUAGCUUGAGGUCGGUAGAGGUGCCUGGAACUCUAGGUGGAGCGGUGAAAUGCGUAGAUAUCUAGAGGAACGCCAGAAGCGAAAGCGGGGCACUGGGCCGAUUCUGACGCUGAGACGCGAAAGCGUGGGGAGCAAACAGGAUUAGAUACCCCUGUAGUC
rnacentral:rRNA from 1 species